UGGGGAAUAUUGCACAAUGGGCGAAAGCCUGAUGCAGCGACGCCGCGUGAGGGAUGACGGCCUUCGGGUUGUAAACCUCUUUCAGUAGGGACGAAGCGCAAGUGACGGUACCUGCAGAAGAAGCACCGGCUAACUACGUGCCAGCAGCCGCGGUAAUACGUAGGGUUCGAGCGUUGUCCGGAAUUACUGGGCGUAAAGAGCUCGUAGGCGGUUUGUCACGUCGUCUGUGAAAUCCUAGGGCUUAACCCUGGACGUGCAGGCGAUACGGGCUGACUUGAGUACUACAGGGGAGACUGGAAUUUCUGGUGUAGCGGUGGAAUGCACAGAUAUCAGGAAGAACACCGAUGGCGAAGGCAGGUCUCUGGGUAGUAACUGACGCUGAGGAGCGAAAGCAUGGGUAGCGAACAGG
rnacentral:rRNA from 1 species